AUACUAACCUGGCAGAGGAGACACCUGGAUCAUAAAGGAGGUUUUCCCAGGGAGGGGCUCAGCUGUUGCAUUCUGACUGUGCUGACCCCUGCGAUUUCCCCAAAUGUGGGAAAUUCUACUGCAUAGUUUAUGGUAGGGGGGGACUGCAUGUGUGCUUUCCCCUG
rnacentral:snRNA from 1 species